rnacentral:rRNA from 1 species
CACGUAGGGUGCAAGCGUUGUCCGGAAUUAUUGGGCGUAAAGAGCUCGUAGGCGGUUUGUCGCGUCUGCUGUGAAAACUCGGGGCUUAACCCCGGGCCUGCAGUGGGUACGGGCAGACUAGAGUGUGGUAGGGGAGACUGGAAUUCCUGGUGUAGCGGUGAAAUGCGCAGAUAUCAGGAGGAACACCGAUGGCGAAGGCAGGUCUCUGGGCCACUACUGACGCUGAGAAGCGAAAGCAUGGGGAGCGAACAGG